AAGUUUCCGGUUGAUCCCGCCGGACCCAACUGCUAUCAGAGUGGGACUAAGCCAUGCGAGUCAACGCAGCAAUGCGUGGUAUACGGCUCAGUAACACGUAGUCAACAUGCCCAGGGGACGUGGAUAACCUCGGGAAACUGAGGAUAAACCGCGAUAGGCCAAGGUUUCUGGAAUGGACACUGGCUGAAACCUACAUGGCCCCUGGAUUGGACUGCGGCCGAUCAGGCUGUUGGUGAGGUAAUGGCCCACCAAACCUGUAACCGGUACGGGCUUUGAGAGAAGGAGCCCGGAGAUGGGCACUGAGACAAGGGCCCAGGCCCUAUGGGGCGCAGCAGGCGAGAAACCUUAGCAAUGUGCGAAAGCACGACUAGGUUAAUCCGAGUGAUUUCUGCUGAAGAAAUCUUUUAUCAGUUCUAAAACUACUAAUGAAUAAGGGGUGGGCAAGUCUGGUGUCAGCCGCCGCGGUAAUACCAGCACCUCGAGUGGUCAGGAGGUUUAUUGGGCCUAAAGCAUCCGAAGCCGGCUUUGCAAGUCUCCGGUUAAAUCCAACUGCUCAACAGAUGGGCUGCCGGAGAUACUACAAAGCUAGGGAGCGGGAGAGGCAGACGGUAUUCGGUGGGUAGGGGUAAAAUCCUCUGAUCCAUUGAGGACCACCAGUGGCGAAGGCGGUCUGCCAGAACGCGUUCGACGGUGAGGGAUGAAAGCUGGGGGAGCAAACCGGAUUAGAUACCCGGGUAGUCCCAGCUGUAAACGAUGCAAACUCGGUGAUGCAUUGGCUUAUGGCCAAUGCAGUGCCGCAGGGAAGCCGUUAAGUUUGCCGCCUGGGAAGUACGGUCGCAAGACUGAAAC
rnacentral:rRNA from 1 species